rnacentral:rRNA from 1 species
AUGCAGACCUUACUUCGCAUGCUGAAUUCUUCAUCAACAACGUCAAAGAGACAUGGAACCGUCACUACGAAAACUCAAAGGUCCAGAUCAGACAUUUCCCGAUUGAGUACGUGGCGACUACAAAACAAGGGAACACGACGGACUGUGGCUUUCACAUGUUGGAAUACCUUGCAAAGUGGGAAGGUAGACUUGUUCCCGCUGUCAAUGCUGCAACGGUCGUUGAGCUCUGGAAAUUUUACACAUGGAACUGGUUGA